rnacentral:lncRNA from 1 species
CCUCCCAAAGUGCUGGGACUCCAGGCGUGGGCCACCACACCUGGCCUGAAGUCCCAUUUCUUAGAAAGACUGUGAUUUCACAUAUAAACAACUCAGAACUUCAAUAUUGAAUGUGAUGCAUUUGUAUCUUGAGAUAUUUGCCCCAAAAACAGAAAAAAAGGAAUAAUUCAUUAAAACAAGAUGACCUCAGAUAAAUGAGUGGUUUUCAAAUGGGCGUGAUUUUGCUCCCAGGGGACCUUUGACAAUGUCUGGAAAUAGUUUUUGUUGCCACAGCUAGCAUGAGGGAGUCCUACUUGUAUCUAGAGGACUGAGUCCAGGAUACUGCUAACCAUCCUGCCCAGAACAGUGCCUGCAACAGAGUUGUCCACCUCAGUGUGACAAUAGCACUGAGAUUGAUGUGCCCUGGGAUAGACAAGUCUCUGGACAGUUUGGGCAAAUGUGAAGGGAGGCAUGGUGCAGGGCCACAGGUUUUUUUGCCACGUGAUGCAAAAGAGCAUAAGAGCUGGGAGGCCCUUAUGCAUGUUGAUCUUCAAUUUCCUCAUUUGUGAAAUGAAGCUUUUUGAUAGACCUCAAAGUUUUCAUGUUAUGUGAGCCUAUUCACCCUUAAGCUGCUUUAACAUUUGACUGAAGGUGAAAGUCUCUACUGUUCUGGAAGAACCUUCUGUUUCAGUAACCCACCUCCUCUUUUUAGUAUAAGGCUAAUAAACACCAGUAUAAAGGAGGAAUUGUUCACUAAGUUAAUACAAAUACAAAGUUAGCAGAAUGGGAGGAAGAAAGGUAAGUUACUCAUCUUUAAAUAUAAAGAUUAGUUUUUGGACACUGCUCAUCUGAAGACAGUUGCAUAUAUUUACAAAAUUCAAGCAGUCACAGUCCCUUCUAGAAAAUGGGAAGCCGGGAAAUACGGUUCCAAAAUCUCUUUGCUUUACCAGAAUGAAAAUAAUUUAACAAAGUAAAAGUAUUUGAACACAACUAUUAUUACAUUAAGGAGUCACUGAUGGUUUUCUUAUCUUUGCUGGUGUUAGCUUGACUUUUUACUAUUUCCAAAAGUUAUAUAUUUGUGACUCAAAAGCAAGCAUUUCCCUAGGUGUAUAUGUUGUAAGAAGAUUUUUGUUAAUUAGAACAUGAAAAUAUUAUCUACUUUUAUAGCAUGUCAGAGAAAUCUUAUGUGAGAAGGUGGAAUUUCUUAUAUUAUCUGUCUCUUUUUUUUCAAUAAUUUGACAAAUUUCCACCAAUCUUAUUUACCACUGCAUAUUAUCUAUAUAAUGACCAUUUAAGAAUUUUCUAUCUUCAAAUAUAUUUGCAAUAUUCUUGCUAUUAGCAAUAAUGACAAUAUUAUAGAGCAUAAAAACGAGCACAGAAGUAUUAUGGUGUUAUUAGUACUAUAGCAUUAGGGUGAGGGUGCUUGCUUUAGAGAUAGAAUUAAAAUAAAAUGUAACUCACAUUAUAUUCUUUAAUUGCUCUACUAAAGAAUUUGUCAUUUAUGGGCCAUUUAUUUUGUGUAGACAUGAAAAGAAUGUGGUUACACCUAGCUAGAAAAUGUAUAACCUUUCAUAUGGGCAGGGCAUGUUUCUCUUUCUCAUCCUGGUACCUGAGUUUGAGUGUAUGAUUAACUCAGUGCAAGUAAGGAGCUAAAUAAAAGAGAUCUGGAACUGAAAUUCAAUUCAACAAAAAUUUAUUAUACACUUAGCUGGUGCAGGGCCGAGCAACAGCAAUAGAAGAUGCAAAAAUGACAAAGAUAAUGUGGUCCUAGCACAUUUAGGGAUGGAUUGCACUAGAUUGCCCUAGAGAAUAGAGGCACAGGGAACUGAUACAAGGCUAAUAGAAAAGCAUGUGCAAGGCAAGUCUAAGAGCAGCAGCAUUUGAAAGAGAGUAACAGACUAAGAGGGAUGGGAAAGACAUAAUGGGAGGUAGACUCCACAGGGCUUCAGAUGGAUUGCAUGUGUGAUUGAGGCAAGGAAGAGGAAGAGAAAGAACAUUUAAUGACCUCCUUCAGUGCCAGACUAUACUAGGUGCUUUGUAUAGGCUGUAUUAUUUUAAACACCUGAGAGACAGCUGUGAUUGUCCCUUUUCUCCAAUGUUGUAUAAUUUGUAGAAAGUUCUCAGAGCUGGGAUUCAAGUGCAAAGUUUCAUUCACUCAUUAAUUCAUAUAGUCAAUAUUUAUUGAAUGUCCACGCUCUGCCAGGCAUCCUGGAAGAUACCAGGGACACAAAAGUGAACACUAGAAACAAGGGUUCUAUUGGGUUCUCAAGGAACCCUUAGUCUAGUAAGGGAGGUAGAUAUUUAUCUAAAUACCCAAAUGGGAUAGUUUUAAAACAUAUCAAAAAAUUUCCAUAAGAGGUAGAGCCUAAUUUCUCUCCCAUUUAGUGUGGGUUGGACUUAAAGACAUAUUUUUAACAAAUAGAGUCAAGCAGCAGUGACAACAUCUGACUUCUAAGUCUAGGUCAUGAAAGACAUUGGAGCUUCCUUCCCACCUGCUGUCUCUUGGAUCACUUGCCCUGGGGUGAGCCAGCUGCCACGGAGAAGCCCACAGAGGAAGAGCGGAACAGUUCUCAAUGGCAAAUGGAAGUUGCAGUGAAGCAGCACCCAGAGCCAGUGUCAGGCUCCCGAGAGAGCGCUGCACCGCUGCAUGUGGUUUCUGGUGCUCUACAUGUUCGGAGAAACUUAUCUGGUAGUGAGCUAUAGAAACAAUCCCUGCAAGCGUCGUCUUUAUAAGGUCAUUUUAAUGACUAUUUUUCUCCUCAGGAAAUAGGCAGUACUGAAGACAGAGAGAUAAAAGGGGCGGUGCUGACACACGUAGAUGACUGGGGCUCUGACAAUGACCGUGAGCUGAUGACCUGAGUCACACAAACUGGAAAACAAAGUUUUUCCCUAAGGAGUUGGACUUUUAAAAACUUUUUAUUGGCUGCUUUUGGAUUAAGGUGUUUAGGACCAGCAUUAUGAGCAGAAGGACUCAGUGUGUAUGAAGAAGAAACCAAGUUUUUCUACAGCAGAAGAGGAGGAAUUUGCCUUUGCAAAAUGUUAUACUGUUUUAUCUGUCGCUGAACGUGUCUGGGCAGUGGCUGUUCUCCCAGGUCUGAGUCCUGAAAAGGGAAAGAGAAAGAGAUUGUAGGACACGGUGAAAUGAUACACGAAACAGCGUUUCCCCAGCUUCUUAUUUGCCUGUACAUUUCUCAUAAAUGGAGUAAAUGCUGAACAAGCUGACUUUCUCCCAUCAUUCCUGUAAAUAAGGAUAUGACUCACAGACCUUGCAAUCUCUAAAAUGCCAUAGCUACUACAGUGAUUUGAUUAUUUAAAAAUAGCUGGGGAAAAAAACAGCAAGAAAUUGGUCCUGGGUAAGUUAGGAUGAAUUCUUUUCUGUUUGUUUUUGUUUAUCAUUUAAAUUGUUAUUGUAUCUCACCCUAAGUAUUCUGACAACAUCUAGUUUGCCAAACAAAUCUUAGGGAUUUAUGAGUUCUGGAAACUAACAAUAUGAACGUGCUGGUCAGAUCUCAGAUCCCAGGCAAAUAAACCCAAAAAACAAAAAACAAAAGACAACAAGACACAAGGUUCACCAUGGAGUCACUGUGAUCUGCGGGCAACUAUGGAUUUGGUUAUAUGAUCUCCUUUUCUAUAAAGUGGAGAGAGAUAAGUGUUGACAUCACUUAAAUACGCUGAGCCCCACCCCCAAAUAACACAAAUGCUGGUAACAACAAUAAUUUAUAUUAAGCCUACUGAACGGCUUUUGUUGAUCUUUAACUAGCCUAUCUAGAAAUGGGAAACGAGUGACCUCUAUUAUUACUCAAGUACUAAAACUCCCCAAGUAGGACUGUUUGUCAAAACUAGGAGUGAGUUUGAGAUUCAGGAUUAAGGUUCAAGUAGGGAAUCUCCAUUUACCCUGCAUCUCAGUCUUACACUGUAUUAUCAGGGUCUUGGGAGGAAAGAGAAGCACACUUAAGAAGGCAUGA